rnacentral:rRNA from 1 species
AAUGAACGUUGGCGGCAUGGAUUAGGCAUGCAAGUCGGGGGAAUCCCAGCAAUGGGGGAACCGGCGUAAGGGGCAGUAAGGCAUGGGUACCUACCUUGGGGUUCGGGAUAGCCAUCAGAGAUGGUGGGUAAUACCGGAUGACGUCGUGAGACCAAAGAUUUAUCGCCCUUAGAGGGGCCCAUGUGAUAUUAGCUAGUUGGUGGGGUAACGGCCCACCAAGGCGAAGAUGUCUAGCGGGUGUGAGAGCACGACCCGCGCCACUCGCACUGAGACACUGGCGAGACACCUACGGGUGGCUGCAGUCGAGGAUCUUCGGCAAUGAGCGCAAGCUUGACCGAGCGAUGCCGCGUGAGCGAUGAAGGCCUUCGGGUUGUAAAGCUUUUUAGUGGGGGAGAAAAGCCGCAAGGUGUGAUCUAUCCCAAAAAUAAGCACGGGCUAAGUACGUGCCAGCUGCCGCCGUAA